rnacentral:rRNA from 1 species
GGGGGAACUGAAACAUCUAAGUACCCCGAGGAAAAGAAAUCAACCGAGAUUCCCCCAGUAGCGGCGAGCGAACGGGGAGGAGCCCAGAGCCUGAAUCAGUGUGUGUGUUAGUGGAAGCGUCUGGAAAGGCGCGCGAUACAGGGUGACAGCCCCGUACACAAAAAUGCACAUAUUGUGAGCUCGAUGAGUAGGGCGGGACACGUGGUAUCCUGUCUGAAUAUGGGGGGACCAUCCUCCAAGGCUAAAUACUCCUGACUGACCGAUAGUGAACCAGUACCGUGAGGGAAAGGCGAAAAGAACCCCGGCGAGGGGAGUGAAAAAGAACCUGAAACCGUGUACGUACAAGCAGUGGGAGCCUCUUAAUGGGGUGACUGCGUACCUUUUGUAUAAUGGGUCAGCGACUUAUAUUCUGUAGCAAGGUUAACCGAAUAGGGGAGCCGAAGGGAAACCGAGUCUUAACUGGGCGUUAAGUUGCAGGGUAUAGACCCGAAACCCGGUGAUCUAGCCAUGGGCAGGUUGAAGGUUGGGUAACACUAACUGGAGGACCGAACCGACUAAUGUUGAAAAAUUAGCGGAUGACUUGUGGCUGGGGGUGAAAGGCCAAUCAAACCGGGAGAUAGCUGGUUCUCCCCGAAAGCUAUUUAGGUAGCGCCUCGUGAAUUCAUCUCCGGGGGUAGAGCACUGUUUCGGCAAGGGGGUCAUCCCGACUUACCAACCCGAUGCAAACUGCGAAUACCGGAGAAUGUUAUCACGGGAGACACACGGCGGGUGCUAACGUCCGUCGUGAAGAGGGAAACAACCCAGACCGCCAGCUAAGGUCCCAAAGUCAUGGUUAAGUGGGAAACGAUGUGGGAAGGCCCAGACAGCCAGGAUGUUGGCUUAGAAGCAGCCAUCAUUUAAAGAAAGCGUAAUAGCUCACUGGUCGAGUCGGCCUGCGCGGAAGAUGUAACGGGGCUAAACCAUGCACCGAAGCUGCGGCAGCGACGCUUAUGCGUUGUUGGGUA